UACAGAGGGGGCAAGCGUUGUUCGGAAUUACUGGGCGUAAAGGGCGCGUAGGCGGCCUUCUAAGUCGAACGUGAAAUCCCCGGGCUCAACCCGGGAACUGCGUCCGAUACUGGAAGGCUUGAAUCCGGGAGAGGGAUGCGGAAUUCCAGGUGUAGCGGUGAAAUGCGUAGAUAUCUGGAGGAACACCGGUGGCGAAGGCGGCAUCCUGGACCGAGAUUGACGCUGACGGCGCGAAAGCCAGGGGAGCAAAGCGGG
rnacentral:rRNA from 1 species